GAUGAACGCUAGCUACAGGCUUAACACAUGCGAGUCGCGGGGCAGCAUGGGGGUUGCUUGCAAUCCCCGAUGGCGACCGGCGCACGGGUGAGUAACGCGUAUCCAACCUGCCCUUCACCACGGGAUAACCCGGCGAAAGUCGGACUAAUACCGUAUGUUGUCCAUUGACGGCAUCCGAUUUGGACGAAAGGCUUGGCGGUGAGGGAUGGGGAUGCGUCCGAUUAGCCAGACGGCGGGGUAACGGCCCACCGUGGCUACGAUCGGUAGGGGUUCUGAGAGGAAGGUCCCCCACACUGGAACUGAGACACGGUCCAGACUCCUACGGGAGGCAGCAGUGAGGAAUAUUGGUCAAUGGGCGUAAGCCUGAACCAGCCAAGUAGCGUGCAGAAUGACGGCCCUAUGGGUUGUAAACUGCUUUUAUGCGGGGAUAAAGUGGCCCACGUGUGGGCUUUUGCAGGUACCGCAUGAAUAAGGACCGGCUAAUUCCGUG
rnacentral:rRNA from 1 species